rnacentral:rRNA from 1 species
UGAUCCAGCCAUGCCGCGUGUGUGAAGAGGACCUUAUGGUUAGUAAAGCACUUUAAGCGAGGAGGAGGCUACUGAGACUAUACUCUUGGAUAGUGGACGUUACUCGCAGAAUAAGCGACCGGCUAACUCUGUGCCAGCAGCCGACGGUAAUACAGGAGGGUGCGAGACGUUAAGUCGGUAUUACGUGGACGUAAAGCGUGCGUAGGCGGCUUUUAAGUCGGAUGUGAAAUCCCCGAGCUUAACUUGGGAAUUGCAUUCGAUACUGGGAAGCUAGAGUAUGGGAGAGGAUGGUAGAAUUCCAGGUGUAGCGGUGAAAUGCGUAGAGAUCUGGAGGAAUACCGAUGGCGAAGGCAGCCAUCUGGCCUAAUACUGACGCUGAGGUACGAAAGCAUGGGGAGCAAACAGGAUUAGAUACCCUGGUAG